rfam:Camelus ferus unplaced genomic scaffold scaffold307, whole genome shotgun sequence.
GAGGGUAUAGCUCAGUGAUUAAACUACGUGCUUAGCAUGCACAAGGUCCUGGGUUCAAUCCCCAGUACCUCCA